CAUCUGUUUAACAAAUUGUACAUUUCUUAAUAUCAAAGAAAUGAAAACAAAUAAAUGUUAAUAAGACUGAUAAGUUGGAGGUUUUACAAUGUAUACACAAUACAUAAAAGUUGUGCAAUGCUUGUAGUAGCUGUUACAAGGGACGCAUAAGGGAAUAUAUAGAUUGGCGUUAACUAGUCAAGAAUAAUCAGGGAACGUGUUAACAGUUAUGAAAAUCUGUAAAUUACAUCAAUAUUGUACUUCUAAUACUGGAUAAAGAGUUUGUCGUAAAAACUACACAGAGAUCACAACAGAAAGAGAACCAGGAAAUAACAACUUUAGACAUACCUCUAGCUGCACGGGGCCAAAGGUAAGAGUUAUUUGCAGGACAGAAGAUUUGCCCAGACGUGAUAAAUACAACCAGACGGUGAUAUUGCACGAGCCAAAACAUGCUAUCGUGCCAUCAGGUGCAAGGCAUUCGAUGAUAACAUUCACAGUUGCUAUGAUGUGACAGGAUGGUCAAACCGGGGACAGAAAAUAUACGAACAAUUUAACACUCAUUACAAUAUUUACAAGUUUAUUUACUGUAAUGAAUAUUUACAACGAAAAGAAAAAAUAAGUAUUUAAUAAAUAGAAAGAAAGAAAAAGUUGAGCUCAAUGUCUG